AUUGAACGCUGGCGGCCGGCUUAGCACAUGCAAGUCGAGCGGGAUGAUGGUGCUUGCACUAUCACUUAGCGGCGGACGGGUGAGUAAUGCUUAGGAAUCUGCCUCUUAGUGGGGAACAACAUCCCGAAAGGGAUGCUAAUACCGCAUACGUCCUACGGGAGAAAGCAGGGGACCACUUGUGACCUUGCGCUAAUAGAUGAGACUAAGUCGGAUUAGCUAGUUGGUGGGGUAAAGGCCUACCAAGGCGACGAUCUGUAGCGGGUCUGAGAGGAUGAUCCGCCACACUGGGACUGAGACACGGCCCAGACUCCUACGGGAGGCAGCAGUGGGGAAUAUUGGACAAUGGGGGGAACCCUGAUCCAGCCAUGCCGCGUGUGUGAAGAAGGCCUUAUGGUUGUAAAGCACUUUAAGCGAGGAGGAGGCCCUUUUGGUUAAUACCCAAGAUGAGUGGACGUUACUCGCAGAAUAAGCACCGGCUAACUCUGUGCCAGCAGCCGCAGUAA
rnacentral:rRNA from 1 species